CUGAAAUACAGAGUGGCGAGACAAAGAAAGGAUUGUAGGCUGGGCAUGUCACCCAACACCAAAGUUAAAUGGCUCGUCCAUAACAGUCAUCAAGGACUGGAACACCAAAGGUAAUGUUGUAGCAACAUAUAACUGAAUGUUGUUGAGAAAAUCAAAAUGAAUGAUUAUAAGGCAUCAGUCUCAGACUUUGUAAACUCGUUUAUGCAUCAAGCUUCAUGUAUAACCUGCUACUUGGGACAGACUGACCAAAUUGAAACAACUGUUUGGCUGGACCUUUGAUGCCUUGAACCGCCAGAGACGAAUGUGAAACAGGAGAAUAUUUUCACAUUGGUGACUACAGGGGUAACAGACAUACAAGGGUAUAUUUAUAAGCGUGCAUUGCUUUGGUCAGUCUUCAGUUCAUCCGAAUAAUUCUUAUUUCUCUUUUUUUCCAACAGCACCAAACAAGCACAAACAUUGGUAUGAAGAGGAGGAAAAAUAAAUAACACAAAUUAUCUGUACAUAGGCCAGGACUGGGAGUUGGUCUUGUGGUUCCUUCUGGUGUUGAAGAUGUAUUAUCUAAACUGACAGAAAAACACACUAAGAGAGAAAUCACAGAGGCUUCUCAAACACGUGCUACAAUGCUGAUUUAUCGAUACUAUACAUGACAUGAUGCAUUGACAAUACUGGAACAUUAUUAUUAUGGUUUACCAGAUCAUAUGCAGUUUAUAUCUUUUGACAACCUUCUUUUGAUGAUGUCUGCAAAUAAGAACAUCAGACGUCAAUUUUUGGAAAAAACAUAAGAAGCUAUGUUUUCCAUUUUCAACAUCAAUUGUUUAGAAUUGUCCUGCGAAAUAUUGCAUUAUGUCAUGUAUCAUGUUAAGAAGAGAAAUGUUGCCACAUCUCUCAGUUGUGCAUAACUUCAGUAUAUUGUUUCAGCCCUGGGUGAACAUCAUCAAGGGUUGUACCCAUGUGUUGAGCAUUACCGAUUUUUAUUCAUGCAAUAAGAACAAGAAAAAAUUAUGUAAAUGUGACUGA